rnacentral:misc_RNA from 1 species
GCAGGACCCGCGUGGCUCGGAAAAAAUGUCGACCAACCCGUAGAACGCAAGUUUGUUUAUGAAAAACCUGAAGAGGAUAACAGAGUGAUUCCCCCAGAGAAAACUCUUACAAAACCUGGAGUGUAUGAUAUCAGCACUGAGCCAUCAGGAGUCUCCAGGCUUAGGUUUUUUCCUGUUUUCAUUGACCCUGAAGAAGCGAACGCAAUUUAUGACACGUUGUAUCACGAGUUGCCAUGGAGACAGAGGACAGAUGUUAAAAAGACGGGGGAGUCGUUUUUACAGCCGAGACUUACAGCAUGGUACGGAGAGCUUCCAUAUUCCUACUCAGGACUUACUUAUGAUGCAUGCCCACAGUGGCACCCAACUUUACUCAUGCUGAAGGAUCGCUUAGAGGAAGUAACAGGAAUCAACUUCAAUUCCAUGCUUGCUAACCUUUACCGCGACGGCCAUGACUCUGUAGCCUGGCACUCGGACGACGAACUCAUUCUUGGCCCUGAGCCAACAAUCGCCUCCCUGACCUUUGGAGAUACGCGGAACUUUGAACUACGAAAGAAACCUCCACCAGAGGAGAAUGGAGACUAUACGUACAUGGAGCAUAUCAAGAUCCCCCUGACGCAUGGAUCUCUGCUGUUGAUGGAGGGGGCAUCACAGACAGACUGGCAGCACCGUAUUCCAAGAGAGUACCAUGAUAAAGGGCCCAGAAUAAACCUGACUUUUAGAAUUAUUUACCCCCAGUAGCUGGCAGGAGAUUCCACGUAUUAUAUUUUCUCUCUUGACAGAAAAAAAUGUUUGAGUUUAAAAAAGAAGUUUGUACAAAUUUUAAUUAAUUAUGGAAUUUAUUUAUGAUUUGAUGGUAUUUAGUCUGUAUAUACACAUAUAUGGGAUACAAAUCAUCUAUAAUUCUGAUAUGCCUGUUUUCUUCAAAAUCCUUUUACCAUUUAAGUGAAUUUAUCGCAAACUAUUGUAAUUCUAAUUCAGUCUGGAAAUAGAAACUAUCAAUGUUUGCUGUGUGAUAUAUAUAAGGUACAUGUGGUUUGUGGUAACACGCAGUACAUGCAUUAUUCAUGCAUUUGUACUCAGAUUAAUCAUGUUUAUAUGUAAUGAAACAUGUUUAUAUGUAUGUUUAACAAUUGGUAAUAAAGGGGAAUAUUUAUU